CCUGGGAAUGCCUCUCUUUGCCAGUGACCUUAUGUGUUUGUUCAACUGUCCAACUGAGGGUUCAUCCUGACAUUUAGGCAACAAGUCAGAGCCUGUGGAAUUACAGUGACAAUUCAAACAUGAGAAAGAAACAGCUGCCCAAUAGGGCCACAGGAAAUACUGCUAUUCAGGAAAACUGCUUUUCAGGGUUUUUUUUUUUUGGUCUUUCUUUUUUUCUUUCUCUCCUCACGAGAUGUUGGUUACUGAGAUCUCCUCCCCUGAUUGUACUCCAGGUGCCUGUGGAGGAGGUGGCAACAGGCAGUUCCCGCCCUCUGGGAAGGAGCAAAGAGGUGGGGAAGACAAGAAAGACACUGGAGAAAGGCAAAAAUGGACUGUUUGGUGAUGGAGACUGAGCAGAGGUGGGCUAAAAGGAAUGGAAGGAGACUAACUGGUGAAGAAGGAGCAAAGAGUGAGGCACAGUAAGUGGGUUGGGGGAGGGGGCAGCUUCUCUCUGGACCUAGGAUGCACUUAGUAAGUCC
rnacentral:lncRNA from 10 species